rnacentral:rRNA from 1 species
GACGAACGCUGGCGGCGUGCUUAACACAUGCAAGUCGUACGGUAAGGCCCUUUCGGGGGUACACGAGUGGCGCACGGGUGAGUAACACGUGAGUAACAUGCCCACAACUUUUGGAUAACGCUAGGAAACUGGUGCUAAUACUGUAUAUGUGCUCCUGCUGCAUGGUGGGGGUUGGAAAGCUCCGGCGGUUGUGGAUGGACUCGCGGCCUAUCAGCUUGUUGGUGGGGUAGUGGCCUACCAAGGCGGCGACGGGUAGCCGGCCUGUGAGGGUGACCGGCCACACUGAGACUGAGAUACGGCCCAGACGCCGACGGGAGGCAGCAGUGGGGAAUAUUGCACAAUGGGCGCAAGCCUGAUGCAGCAACGCCGCGUGCGGGAUGACGGCCUUCGGGUUGUAAAAAGCUUUCAGCAGGGACGAAGCUUUUUGUGACGGUACCUGAAGAAGAAGCACCGGCUAACUACGUG